AGCCAUAAAAAAACCAGAGAAGAAAUGGAAAAAAAAAAAAACUUUGA
rnacentral:rRNA from 1 species